UCCUACGGGAGGCAGCAGUGGGGAAUUUUGGACAAUGGGCGAAAGCCUGAUCCAGCAAUGCCGCGUGUGUGAAGAAGGCCUUCGGGUUGUAAAGCACUUUUGUCCGGAAAGAAAUCCUUGGCUCUAAUACAGUCGGGGGAUGACGGUACCGGAAGAAUAAGCACCGGCUAACUACGUGCCAGCAGCCGCGGUAAUACGUAGGGUGCGAGCGUUAAUCGGAAUUACUGGGCGUAAAGCGUGCGCAGGCGGUUUGCUAAGACCGAUGUGAAAUCCCCGGGCUCAACCUGGGAACCGCAUUGGUGACUGGCAGGCUAGAGUAUGGCAGAGGGGGGUAGAAUUCCACGUGUAGCAGUGAAAUGCGUAGAGAUGUGGAGGAAUACCGAUGGCGAAGGCAGCCCCCUGGGCCAAUACUGACGCUCAUGCACGAAAGCGUGGGGAGCAAACAGGAUUAGAUACCCUGGUAGUCCACGCCCUAAACGAUGUCAACUAGUUGUUGGGGAUUCAUUUCCUUAGUAACGUAGCUAACGCGUGAAGUUGACCGCCUGGGGAGUACGGUCGCAAGAUUAAAACUCAAAGGAAUUGACGGGGACCCGCACAAGCGGUGGAUGAUGUGGAUUAAUUCGAUGCAACGCGAAAAACCUUACCUACUCUUGACAUGGUCGGAAUCCUGCUGAGAGGUGGGAGUGCUCGAAAGAGAACCGGCGCACAGGUGCUGCAUGGCUGUCGUCAGCUCGUGUCGUGAGAUGUUGGGUUAAGUCCCGCAACGAGCGCAACCCUUGUCCUUAGUUGCUACGCAAGAGCACUCUAAGGAGACUGCCGGUGACAAACCGGAGGAAGGUGGGGAUGACGUCAAGUCCUCAUGGCCCUUAUGGGUAGGGCUUCACACGUCAUACAAUGGUCGGAACAGAGGGUUGCCAACCCGCGAGGGGGAGCUAAUCCCAGAAAACCGAUCGUAGUCCGGAUUGCACUCUGCAACUCGAGCGCAUGAAGCUGGAAUCGCUAGUAAUCGCGGAUCAGCAUGCCGCGGUGAUUCUUCCCGGGCCUUGUACAC
rnacentral:rRNA from 1 species